AUCAAAUGAACUAAGGCAGAUGGUGGAGACCUAGGCACUCUGAGUCGAUGAAGGGCGCAGCAACCGGCGAAACGCUUCGGGGAGUUGGAAACGAGCUUUGAUCCGAAGAUUCCCGAAUAGGGCAACCUAUUUGACUCCUUAAUGAAUUCAUAGUAAAGGAAGAGGCAACCUGGUGAAUUGAAACAUCUUAUUAGCCAGAGGAAAAGAAAGCAAACGCGAUUCCCUUAGUAGCGGCGAGCGAAAGGGGAAAAGCCUAAAUUUGUUAAGAAGUUCAUUUUUGAACUUUUUAAUGGAUGUUGUGGGAGGACUAAGUUUUCUGAUUUCAAAAGAAAACAUCAAAUGAACUUUCAUUUUAUUAAUAAAAUGAAAAACUUGUUCAAAAGAAAAAGACGAAUCAGCUGAAUCCUGUACCAAAGAUGGUGAAAGUCCAGUAGUUUAUAAUUCUUAUUAAAAAAAGUCUUAUCCCGAGUAGCAUGGGACACGUGAAAUCCCGUGUGAAUCUACGAGGACCACCUCGUAAGGCUAAAUAUUCCAGAGUGACCGAUAGCGAAAUAGUACUGCGAUGGAAUGGUUAAAUAGAACCCCUGUAGGGGAGUGAAAUAGAACAUGAAACCAUCUGCUGACAAGCAGCGGGAGGAUUCAAAAUCUGACCACGUGCCUGUUGAAGAAUGAGCUGGCGACUUAUAGGAAGUGGCUUGGUUAAGAACUAACAUUCGGAGCCGAAGCGAAAGCGAGUCUUAAUAGGGCGUAAACGGUCACUUCUUAUGGACCCGAACCCGGGUGAUCUAACCACUGCCAGGUAGAAGCUUAGGUAAAACUUUGUGGAGGACUGUACCGACUGGUGUUGAAAAACCAACGGAUGAGCUGUGGUUAGCGGUGAAAUACCAAUCGAACUCGGAGCUAGCUGGAUCUCCCCGAAAUGCGUUGAGGCGCAGUCGGUAAUGAAGGACUAUGAAAGGGUAAAGCAACUGUUUCGGUAAGGGCUACGAAAGUGGUACCAAGUCGUGGCAAACUCAGAAUAUUUCAUAUAGUUUACCAUUAACCAGUGAGACGGUGGGGGAUAAGCUUCAUCGUCAAGAGGGAAACAGCCCAGAUCACCAGCUAAGGCCCCAAAAUGAACGCUAAGUGGAAAAGGAUGUGGGAAUGCCGUGACACACGUGAGGUUAGCUUAGAAGCAGCGAUUCCUUGAAAGAAAGCGUAAAAGCUCAACGUUGUAAGCGUUCUUGCGCCGACAAUAGCCGGGACUAAGUGUUCUGCCGAAGCUGUGAGAUGGAGAAUUUUUCUCCUAUCGGUAGGGGAGCGUUCGACUCUUGGGUGAAGCAUGCGCGGAAGCUCGUGUGGACAAAGUCGAAGUGAGAAUGUCAGCUUGAGUAACGAAAACGUUGGUGAGAAUCCAACGCUCCGACAACCUAAGGGUUCCUUCACUAGGCUCGUCCAUGAAGGGUUAGUCAGGACCUAAGAUCAGGCCGAACGGCGUCGUCGAUGGAAAUCAGGUUAAUAUUCCUGAACUGAUUUGAUUAUUGGUCCCGAGGGACGAAGGAGGCUAAACUAGAACUGAUAACGGAUUGCAGUGGAAGUGUUCGAGACUUCUCGAUCGAAGAAAAACGAUUUGAGCGUUAAGACAUGAUCCCAUCUGAUUUCGAUCUCGGUUGAAUGAUGAUGCUAGUGAUGUCACACUUCCUAGAAAAGCUCGUACGAUUUGAUUUCAAAUCACCUGUACCGUAAACCGACACAGGUAGGUGGGUAGAGAAUACCAAGGAGCGCGAGAGAACUCUCCCUAAGGAACUCGGCAAAUUGACCCCGUAACUUCGGAAGAAGGGGUGCCCUCUGCAAGGGGGGCUGCAAAAGCCAGGCUCUGGCGACUGUUUAACAAAAACACAGGUCUCCGCAAAGUCGAAAGACUAUAUAUGGGGGCUGACGCCUGCCCAGUGCUGGAAGGUGAAGGAAGUUGGUUAACGCUGACGACCGAAGCCCCAGUGAACGGCGGCGGUAACUAUAACCGUCCUAAGGUAGCGAAAUUCCUUGUCGAGUAAGUUUCGACCUGCACGAAAGGCGUAACGAUCAGAGCGCUGUCUCAGGGAGAGGCUCGGUGAAAUAGACUUGUCUGUGAAGAUGCGGACUACUUACACUUGGACAGAAAGACCCUAUGAAGCUUGACUGUAUCCUGGAAUUGCGUUUGGGCUUUUUCUGCGCAGAAUAGGUGGGAGGCGUUGAAGGCUUUCUUUCGGGAAGGUUUGAGCCGUCGUUGAGAUACCACUCUGAAAGAGCUAGAAUGCUAAUGGUGUUCCUUGAAUCAGGACGCUUGACAGUUUCAGGUGGGCAGUUUUUCUGGGGCGGAAUUCUCCUAAAGGGUAACGGAGAAGCGCAAUGGUUCCCUCAGCCUGGACGGAAAUCAGGCAUUGAGUGUAAAGGCAUAAGGGAGCUUGACUGCAAGACCUACAAGUCAAGCAGGAUCGAAAGAUGGCCUUAGUGAUCCGACGGUUCCGUGUGGAAGGGCCGUCGCUCAACGGACAAAAGUUACUCUAGGGAUAACAGGCUGAUCAUUUUCAAGAGUUCAUAUCGACGAAAUGGUUUGGCACCUCGAUGUCGGCUCUUUGCAUCCUGGGGCGGUAGUACGUCCCAAGGGUUGGGCUGUUCGCCCAUUAAAGCAGAACGUGAGCUGGGUUCAGAACGUCGUGAGACAGUUCGGUCCAUAUCCGGUGUAAGCGUUAGUGCAUUGAGGGAAACCUUUUAUAGUACGAGAGGACCCAAAAGGACGCACCAAUGGUAUACCAGUUCUUGUUCCAACGGGAAACGCUGGGUAGCUACGUGCGGAAUAGAUAACUGCUGAAAGCAUCUAAGUAGGAAGCUUAUCCCAAGAUGAGUGCACUUCUUUUCUUAACUUUUUGUUUAGAAAAGUAGUAGGUCACGGUAAGACUAGCCGUUUAAUAGGUACCAGGUGUAAGGCCAGUAAUGGUUUCAGCUAAGGUAUACUAACGACCGAAAAAUUUUGAU
rnacentral:rRNA from 1 species